GAUUUUUUUUUUUUUUUUAAAUGAAGAAUUACAUUAGUUUUCCUUCAAGGCUAACGUUACAGCAGCCCGCAACCACACAGUACUUUAUUUUUAAACAUGGAAUUGGUAAUAAAAUUAGAAUCAUUGGGAAUUCAAAAAAUAUGAACAUGCAUCUCACUAAAAUUGGUCAGUGCAAUGGGUGCAAAAACAAGCUAAAUUGCCAA
rnacentral:misc_RNA from 1 species